rnacentral:rRNA from 1 species
GCAGGCUUAACACAUGCAAGUCGAGCGGUAGCACAGGGGAGCUUGCUCCCUGGGUGACGAGCGGCGGACGGGUGAGUAAUGUCUGGGAAACUGCCUGAUGGAGGGGGAUAACUACUGGAAACGGUAGCUAAUACCGCAUAACGUCGCAAGACCAAAGAGGGGGACCUUCGGGCCUCUUGCCAUCAGAUGUGCCCAGAUGGGAUUAGCUAGUAGGUGGGGUAAUGGCUCACCUAGGCGACGAUCCCUAGCUGGUCUGAGAGGAUGACCAGCCACACUGGAACUGAGACACGGUCCAGACUCCUACGGGAGGCAGCAGUGGGGAAUAUUGCACAAUGGGCGCAAGCCUGAUGCAGCCAUGCCGCGUGUGUGAAGAAGGCCUUCGGGUUGUAAAGCACUUUCAGCGAGGAGGAAGGUGGUGAGCUUAAUACGCUCAUCAAUUGACGUUACUCG